rnacentral:rRNA from 1 species
UACGAAGGGGGCUAGCGUUGUUCGGAUUUACUGGGCGUAAAGCGCACGUAGGCGGCUCGAUCAGUCAGGGGUGAAAUCCCAGGGCUCAACCCUGGAACUGCCUUUGAUACUGUCGAUCUGGAGUAUGGAAGAGGUGAGUGGAAUUCCGAGUGUAGAGGUGAAAUUCGUAGAUAUUCGGAGGAACACCAGUGGCGAAGGCGGCUCACUGGUCCAUUACUGACGCUGAGGUGCGAAAGCGUGGGGAGCAAACAGG